UGUUGUCCACUGCCCUUUUUCUGUUGCACUACUGGACACUGACAUGAGCAGUGCAAUAUUAAAAGGGCAUUGGAUGAUUG
rfam:Xiphophorus maculatus strain JP 163 A Contig6038.1, whole genome shotgun sequence.